GACGAACGCUGGCGGCGUGCUUAACACAUGCAAGUCGAACGGUAAGGCCUUCGGGUACACGAGUGGCGGACGGGUGAGUAACACGUGGGUGAUCUGCCCCCUACUCUGGGAUAAGCCUGGGAAACUGGGUCUAAUACCGGAUAUGACCUCCUUCUGCAUGGUUGGUGGUGGAAAGUUUUUUCGGUAGGGGAUGAGCCCGCGGCCUAUCAGCUUGUUGGUGGGGUAAUGGCCUACCAAGGCGACGACGGGUAGCCGGCCUGGGAGGGCGACCGGCCACACUGGGACUGAGACACGGCCCAGAGUCCUACGGGAGGCAGCAGUGGGGAAUAUUGCAGAAUGGGCGAAAGCCUGAUGCAGCGACGCCGCGUGGGGGAUGACGGCCUCCGGGUUGUAAACCCCUUUCAGUCGGGACGAAGCGAGAGUGACGGUACCGAUAGAAGAAGCACCGGCCAACUACGUGCCAGCCGCCGCCGUAAUAC
rnacentral:rRNA from 1 species